CGUCAGUUUAUGGUAAAUCCGUGUCCACUCCUGCCUUACCGAAGGCGUCUAUCGGCUUUGAAAUCCGCCGUGUAAACCGUGAUGCUUGGGGAUCCAUGCAGCCGUGGGCUCCUGGGCAUGGUUCUGUUACCACCAGGAAUUUAAUGUUGUUUAUAUCUCGUCUGUAUCUUUCAUUAUCAGUAGACACACAGCAGCACUGCCCGCAUGAGAUAGAUUCCUCUGUUCAAUUUUAGCCGUUAUUUUUUUUUUUUUUAAUUCUUUGACGGUUGAGAAGAAGCAGCAGUAGCCACAGGGAGCAGAACUAACAAGCCGCGGCCGCUUGACAGGUGCCGUCUCCCGGCUCUGCGUGGAGAGAUGCCGCCCGUCCAGAGAACCAUGUCUGAUCUUCGUACCCGGGCGGAGGGAUAUGAAAAGACAGAGGACACCACAGAAAAGACGUCCUUAGCUGACCAAGAAGAUGCCCGACUAAUAUACCUCAACCAGCUGCAGUUCACCAAGUUUUGCAACAAUCGAGUCAGCACAGCCAAAUAUAAUGUCCUCACAUUUCUUCCUCGGUUCCUCUACUCACAGUUCAGGAGGGCAGCCAAUGCCUUCUUUCUCUUCAUUGCACUGUUGCAGCAAAUCCCAGAUGUGUCUCCCACUGGUCGCUGGACCACACUGGUGCCGCUGCUCUUCAUCCUGAUGGUGGCUGCUGUCAAGGAGUUCAUUGAGGAUCUGAAACGUCACAACGCGGACAGUGUUGUCAACAAAAAGGAAUGUCAAGUACUGAGGAAUGGUGCCUGGGAGAUUGUGCACUGGGAAAAGGUGUCUGUUGGGGAAGUAGUCAGAGCUGCAAAUGGGGAUCACCUCCCGGCUGACCUCGUCAUACUGUCGUCCAGUGAACCACAGGGUAUGUGCUACAUUGAAACAUCUAACUUGGAUGGAGAAACAAACCUUAAAAUCAGACAGGGUCUCCAAAUGACUGCAGACAUAAAGGACAUCGACAGCCUGAUGCGUCUCUCCGGGCGGAUGGAGUGUGAGAGCCCAAACCGCCAUCUGUAUGAGUUUGUUGGGAACAUCCGCCUUGAUGGACACAGUACAAUGCCACUGGGUCCAGACCAGAUCUUACUGAGAGGAGCCCAGCUGAGGAACACUCAGUGGGUGCAUGGUGUGGUGGUCUACACUGGACAUGACACAAAGCUCAUGCAGAAUUCCACUCGGCCUCCUCUGAAGCUGUCCAACGUUGAGCGUAUCACCAACUUUCAGAUCCUUGUGCUGUUUGGUUGCCUGCUGGCCAUCUCUCUGGUCUGCUCCAUUGGCCAAACCAUCUGGAAGUACCAGUACGGCAAUGAUGCCUGGUACAUGGAUCUCAACUCUCCAGAUGGCGGGGCAGCUAACUUUGGCCUCAACUUCCUCACCUUCAUCAUCUUGUUCAACAAUCUGAUCCCCAUCAGUCUCCUGGUCACGCUGGAGGUUAUCAAGUUCACCCAAGCCUUUUUCAUCAACUGGGACACCGAUAUGCUCUAUGAGCCCACGAACACACCUGCCAUGGCUCGCACCUCCAAUCUGAAUGAAGAACUAGGCCAGGUAAAAUACAUUUUCUCUGACAAGACGGGGACCCUGACCUGCAACGUGAUGCAGUUUAAGAAGUGCACCAUCGCUGGCGUGGCCUAUGGCCACGUCCCUGAGGCUGAGGAGGGUAGUUUUGCAGAGGACGACUGCCACAGCACACACUCAUCGGAGGAGGAGGGAUUUAAUGACCUGAGCUUACUGGAAAACCUCCAAAGUAAUCACCCUACAGCUGCUGUCAUCCUGGACUUUAUGACCAUGAUGGCCAUCUGUCACACUGCAGUCCCUGAGCGCACGGAUGGAAAAAUCACCUACCAGGCUGCAUCUCCAGAUGAAGGAGCUCUGGUGAGAGCAGCACAGAACCUUGGCUUUGUGUUUUCUGGUAGAACCCCGGACAGCGUCAUAGUGGAAAUGCCUGGAACAGAGGAGAGAUACGAACUACUUCAUGUGCUGGAGUUUACAAGCACAAGGAAGAGGAUGUCAGUCAUCAUGCGCACCCCAUCUGGGAAGAUCCGCCUCUACUGCAAAGGAGCUGACACAGUGAUCUAUGACCGCCUGGCAGACAGCUCUAGGUACAAAGAGAUCACAUUGAAGCACUUGGAACAGUUUGCCACUGAGGGCCUGCGCACUCUGUGCUUUGCAGCGACAGAUGUCAGUGAGUCGUCCUAUCAGCAGUGGCUGGAGAUCUAUCGCAGAGCCUGCACCUCCCUGCAGAACAGAUCCCUGAAACUGGAGGAGAGCUACGAACUGAUAGAAAAGAACCUCCAGCUCCUGGGGGCCACAGCGAUAGAGGACAAGCUCCAGGAUAAGGUGCCCGAGACCAUUGAGACUCUAAUGAAGGCGGACAUCAAGAUCUGGAUCCUGACAGGGGACAAACAGGAAACAGCCAUUAACAUUGGACAUUCCUGCAAACUACUGACCAAGAACAUGGGCAUGCUUGUGAUCAAUGAAGACACUCUUGAUAGAACAAGGGAAGCGCUCAGCCACCACUGUGGAAUGCUGGGAGAUGCCCUCUACAAGGAGAACGACUUUGCUCUCAUUAUUGACGGGAAGACUCUCAAAUACGCCCUCGCAUUCGGAGUGCGACAGUACUUCCUAGACCUCGCCCUGUCCUGUAAAGCUGUCAUAUGCUGCAGAGUAUCUCCUCUUCAGAAGUCAGAGGUGGUGGAGAUGGUAAAGAAACAGGUGAAGGUGAUCACGCUGGCCAUUGGUGAUGGUGCUAACGACGUGGGAAUGAUCCAGACGGCUCACGUCGGUGUGGGAAUCUCCGGCAACGAGGGCCUGCAAGCUGCAAACUCCUCUGACUACUCUAUUGCCCAGUUCAAAUACUUGAAGAAUCUGUUGCUCGUCCACGGAGCCUGGAAUUACAACCGUGUAGCCAAGUGUAUCCUGUACUGCUUCUACAAGAAUAUUGUCCUCUACAUCAUUGAGAUCUGGUUCGCGUUCGUCAAUGGCUUCUCAGGCCAGAUCCUGUUUGAACGCUGGUGCAUUGGUUUAUACAACGUGAUCUUUACUGCUCUGCCGCCUCUCACUUUGGGAAUAUUUGAGCGCUCCUGCAGAAAAGAGAACAUGCUGAAAUACCCAGAACUCUACAAAACCUCCCAGAAUGCAAUGGGCUUUAAUACCAAGGUCUUCUGGGCCCAUUGUCUGAACGGCCUCUUCCACUCCGUCAUCCUCUUCUGGUUCCCCCUUAAAGCCUUCCAGCAUGAUACAGUUUUUGGCAACGGAAGAACUCCAGACUAUCUCCUCUUAGGCAACAUGGUUUACACAUUUGUGGUCAUCACAGUUUGUCUUAAAGCCGGCCUUGAGACCUCAUCCUGGACCAUGUUUAGUCACAUCGCCAUCUGGGGAAGCAUCGGCCUGUGGGUGGUGUUUUUCAUUAUCUACUCCUCCCUGUGGCCCCUCAUUCCUCUGGCUCCCGACAUGUCAGGAGAGGCGGAGAUGAUGUUCUGUUCGGGGGUCUUCUGGACGGGCCUGGUUUUCAUCCCAGUCACCUCGCUGGUCUUUGACGUUGCCUACAAAGUGGUGAAGAAGGUGUGUUUCAAGACCCUGGUGGAUGAAGUGCAGGAGCUCGAGGCUUUAUCCAAAGACCCUGGAGCAGUGGUGCAUGGAAAGAGUUUGACGGAGAGGGCCCAGCUCCUAAAGAAUGUCUUCAAAAAGAGCACAGUCAGUUUGUACCGGUCUGACUCCAUGCAGCAGAACCUGCUCCGUGGGGAUGAGAGCGUUGUUGUGUGAUACCUUUUUUUUUUUUUAAAUUCCAUUAUUCAUUAUUCAAACCUCACCCCGUCUUAAAACUGCCAGCCUCCUCUAGCUCCCUGAUAGAUGCCUCUCUCCCUCUUUUUUUCUGGUUGUUGACUUCCUGUCCUUCCCCUCGUGUGCCUCGUGGUGUGUCCUGAGUUGAGAUCAGUAGAGCGAGAUAAAGAUGAAAUGAUGAAAUGUUGCGCUGUUAUUCCCCCCUCCCCCCACCCACAAUGCACUCGUCUCAGCGGGGUCCUUUGAACUUCCCCGCUGGCCUCCAGGUACUGACCGAGUCAUUUGACACCUGAAGAUGGCUACGCCUUCUCUCAAGACGAGAACGGAGUGGUGUCUCAGUCAGAUGUCAUCAGAGCAUACGACACCACCAAACAGAGGACCAACGAGUGGUGAGCCGCCGGCCCUCUGGUCGGCCAAUCGGGUGCCACAACAGCCGUUUCUAAUGGCGAUAUUUGAAGCUUAGCAGGGGAAAGACGAGGCGCGAGUGUGUGCCUCCAGCACUUAGGGGAUUUUUGGAGGUGGACAGAGUGUCUUUGAAAAAGGAAAAAAAAAAAAAAAAAAA